CACGUAGUUAGCCGGAGCUUUCUUGCAGGGUACCGUCAUUUUCGUCCCCUGCGACAGAACUUUACAACCCGAAGACCGUCUUCAUUCACGCGGCAUCGCUGCAUCAGGGUUUCCCCCAUUGUGCAAUAUCCCCCACUGCUGCCUCCCGUAGGAGUCUGGGCCGUGUCUCAGUCCCAAUGUGGCCGUUCAACCUCUCAGUCCGGCUACCGAUUGUCGGCUUGGUGGGCCGUUACCCCGCCAACUGCCUAAUCGGACGCGAGCCCAUCUUUCAGCGGAUUGCUCCUUUGAUAUCAGUGCCAUGCGACUCCGAUAUUUUAUGCGGUAUUAGCGUUCGUUUCCAAACGUUAUCCCCCUCUGAAAGGCAGGUUGCUCACGUGUUACUCACCCGUCCGCCACUAAGUUCAGAUGCGAGCAUCUUCACUCCGUUCGACUUGCAUGUGUUAGGCGUGCCGCCAGCGUUCGUCCUGAGCCAGGAUCAAACUCU
rnacentral:rRNA from 1 species